UCAUUACCGAGUUUCCAACUCACAACCCACUGCGAACAUACCUACGUUGCUUCGGCGGUCCCCGGCUCCGGCCGCGCCGCCGAGGAACCCAAACUCUUGUUUUUCCAAUGUGUAAUUCUGAGUAUCUUGAAAUAAAUCAAAACCUUCAACAACGGAUCUCUUGGCUCUGGCAUCGAUGAAGAACGCAGCGAAAUGCGAAAAGUAAUGUGAAUUGCAGAAUUCAGUGAAUCAUCGAAUCUUUGAACGCACAUUGCGCCCGCUGGUACUCCGGCGGGCACGCCUGUCCGAGCGUCAUUUCAACCCUCAGUACCCGCCCUCACGGGCGCGGACUGGUGUUGGGGCCCGGCCGCCAUCACCGGCGGCCGUCCCCUAAAUUCAGUGGCGGUCACGCCGCAAUCCCUUGCGUAGUAACACACCUCGCACCGGAGAGCGACGCGGUCCACGCCGUGAAACCCCCAAUUUUCAAUGGUUGACCUCGGAUCAGGUGGGAAUACCCGCUGAACUUAAGCAUAUCAAUAAGCGGAGGAAAAGAAACCAACAGGGAUUGCCUCAGUAACGGCGAGUGAAGCGGCAACAGCUCAAAUUUGAAAUCUGGCUUUCGGGUCCGAGUUGUAAUUUGCAGAGGAUGCUUUUGGCGAGGUGCCUUCCGAGUUCCCUGGAACGGGACGCCAUA
rnacentral:rRNA from 1 species